rnacentral:piRNA from 1 species
UGGCAGGUGUUCAUUUACUGGGGUUU